rnacentral:ncRNA from 2 species
CAAGAGAAUAUUGGGAUAGGUGCCCUUCGGGGCUUAAUAGGGAAGACCGGUGUAAUGCCGGCACGGUCCCGCCACUGUAACGGGGAGCAAUCUCGCAUAAAUGCCACUGGAGCUUAGGCUUUGGGAAGGCGUGGGAAAGCAAUGAUCCGAAGUCAGGAGAACUGCCUAUCUAACAAUCACCAC